GUCAGACUGAGCAAAAAGACACUAAAGCAGAUGGAUACCUCAUUCAAUCUCAGGGUUUGACAGAGCCAUUGCCAGAGGCUAGCUAAAAACACAUCUUUCAGUUCUCUCCACCCCUAAAGCCUUAUAUUUAACACUAAUCUUCCCUCUACCCUCCUCUGUCGCCUAUUAGACUGCACAUUGAGGUGGAUCAGAGGUAUAGGUGACAGAGGUCAAUCUAAUUGUUAACAUUAGUCAAAUAUUGACAUUGGCAUGAUGUAACAGACUCUACCAUAGUCUAGCUCAUGUUAUUGCCAAUUCCAGGCGACUGGAGAAGCAGUUGAAAGUAAAUACAGUCUGACUAUAACUUCUAUUCAUUACCAGUGGUGCCUCAAGGCCCUAAUUUCUGUCUGAAAUUAAUAAUGGGUGUGGUUAUGGAUACACCUGUUAUGUGAUAGUUGGAUCACCUGGCUGAUUUCAUCAAACUGGAUUUUCUGCUUCUACAACAUACCACUCAACAUAUUUAUGAUCUGCCUAGAUAUUUGUCUUUCAGUAAAUGUCUGUUAACCAAUCAAUAACAUCCGUGAUCAUGAUGACUCUCUGGCUGUCUACUGAAAUGUGUUCUGACCAGGGGAGUUUAAGAGCCCCGACGCUUGCUCUAUAACACGCAUUACUUGCCGUACGGUUUUGGAAACAUAAGGAACGUAUUUUCCAUAUCAAAUGAAAAUACUACACAGCCAUAUCUCCAAGUCGCAUUACUUGUUUACGGUAGACAUAGGUGGCCACCUAUGCUAAAUAGCCAUCUAGCAUGCUCCAAAUCUGUGUGUAAUCGUACCUGUGGAAAGUGUAGUUCGUCGACUGGAGGCACACAUCUUGUGGGUAGCCCAGCAGGAGUUGGACCUGUAGCCAAAAAGUGUUGAGUCGGUGUCCCGGGCCGGGUGCUGGAAGAAGGGAAGAAUUGAUCCGGCAACUGGAGGGUUGCUGGGUUCACAUCCUCAAGCUAUUCCCCUACUGUUGAGCCCUUGAGCAAGGUCCUUAACCUCACUCUCCAUCCAGGGAUGGAUGCACUGCAGCUUGACCCUGUGCUCAUCUCAAAUUGUAUUUGGUGAUGUACACAUACAUGUACAGAGCAGGAGACACAUUUUUGUUCUUUGCUGUAACAAAUGGCCAAUAAAGCUGUAUUGUAUAACAUUUUCUCAA